AUUGAACGCUGGCGGAAUGCUUUACACAUGCAAGUCGAACGGCAGCACGGACUUCGGUCUGGUGGCGAGUGGCGAACGGGUGAGUAACAUAUCGGAACGUAUCCAAUAAUGGGGGAUGACGAGUCGAAAGAUUCGCUAAUACCGCAUACGCCCUACGGGGGAAAGCUGGGGACCUUCGGGCCUGGCGUUAAUGGAGCGGCCGAUAUCUGAUUAGCUAGUUGGUGAGGUAAAGGCUCACCAAGGCGACGCUCAGUAGCUGGUCUGAGAGGACGACCAGCCACACUGGAACUGAGACACGGUCCAGACUCCUACGGGAGGCAGCAGUGGGGAAUUUUGGACAAUGGGCGCAAGCCUGAUCCAGCCAUUCCGCGUGAGUGAAGAAGGCCUUCGGGUUGUAAAGCUCUUUCGCAAGGGAAGAAAACUUAGCCACUAACAUUGGUUGAGGUUGACGGUACCUUGAUAAGAAGCACCGGCUAACUACGUGCCAGCAGCCGCCGUAA
rnacentral:rRNA from 1 species